rnacentral:lncRNA from 1 species
UGGGCUGUAAUUUGAAUUGUAAAGCAUUCUGAAUGAGUUAAUAAAUUAUACAUAUUGGACUUGGAAUCUUGACUUAGGAGAAAACCAGCGUUUUAACCCGUUAUAUGAUUCUACUACCUGAUUUAGCUCUAGGAGCCGUGGUUUGAUUGUAUCAUUGCUGUUUCAUCGCGGUGGAUACCUGGGGUAGUUUAGAAUGCAUUUACGCUCGUGCUGGGAUGCCGAGCUUAUUUUUACAGCAGAGUCUAGGUUGUUUCAGAUUAUCCGGUGCCGUCGGGGUGGA